UCAGCCAUCCACCCGCGCCCUCUCUGUCUCAAGUCCCUCCUUCUCUGGUGUCUCUCACAGCUUCUCCACCGUCAUCCUCUCCGGCGCCUCCCAAUUUGUCAUUCUCUCCGGCAUCGACAGCUGCUGCUACUUCAUUGGCUGAAGCUUCUGAUUGAGAUUGUUCCCUGCCAAAUCAGUCAAGACGGUCUGGAGGGCUGCAGUUGGGAUAUUCCAGAGAUGAAGUUCUUCGAGAAGAGCAGCCAAAUACCAAUCAAGGCUUGGAAAGAUUCUUUCACUCUUUCAACCAUUACUUCACAUUGAAAUAGGCUGAUGGCAAGUAAAGGAUCUGCCGUUUCUUUUAAAUGCAUUGCAAGGAUUCGUUCAACAAUUCCGCUAAUAUUGCUUCAAUAUUAGCAUUGAGAAUUUGAAAAGAUUGGUCCCCCGAUAUGAAGCCUUGGCAACUGAAGGCGGAAUCGAAUCGAUACAAUUUCGUCUUUCACUGCAGUCGGUUCUAGUGUUGCCAAGACCCUGAUUUAACCCAUAUUAUAUAUACCAGCCUGAAUUUUUCUUUUUUCCUUCCA